AGCAGCAGCCGCGGUAAUACGUAGGUGGCAAGUGUUAUCCGGAAUUAUUGGGCGUAAAGCGCGCGUAGGCGGUUUUUUAAGUCUGAUGUGAAAGCCCACGGCUCAACCGUGGAGGGUCAUUGGAAACUGGAAAACUUGAGUGCAGAAGAGGAAAGUGGAAUUCCAUGUGUAGCGGUGAAAUGCGCAGAGAUAUGGAGGAACACCAGUGGCGAAGGCGACUUUCUGGUCUGUAACUGACGCUGAUGUGCGAAAGCGUGGGGAUCAAACAGGAUUAGAUACCCGCGUAGUCCCUGUCUCUUAUAC
rnacentral:rRNA from 1 species